CCGGAGGUGGUGGGUGCCUGGCUAACUCCGGAGGUGGUGGGUGCCUGACUAACUCCGGAGGUGGUGGGUGUCUGACUAACUCCGGAGGUGGUGGGUGUCCGGCUAACUCCGGAGGUGGUGGGUGCCUGGCUAACUCCGGAGGUGGUGGGUGUCUGGCUAACUCCGGAGGUGGUGGGUGCCU